rnacentral:rRNA from 1 species
UUACGGCCAUAUCAUGUUGAAACACUGGUUCUUGUAAGAUCAUCGAAGUUAAGCAACAUCAAGUUUGGUCAUUACUUAGAUGGGUGACCACUUAGGAAUACCAGGUACUGUAAG